AGCGAACGCUGGCGGCAGGCCUAACACAUGCAAGUCGAACGAACCCUUCGGGGUUAGUGGCGGACGGGUGAGUAACACGUGGGAACGUGCCUUUAGGUUCGGAAUAACUCAGGGAAACUUGUGCUAAUACCCAAUGUGCCCUUCGGGGGAAAGAUUUAUCGCCUUUAGAGCGGCCCGCGUCUGAUUAGCUAGUUGGUGAGGUAAAGGCUCACCAAGGCUACGAUCAGUAGCUGGUCUGAGAGGAUGACCAGCCACAUUGGGACUGAGACACGGCCCAAACUCCUACGGGAGGCAGCAGUGGGGAAUCUUGCGCAAUGGGCGAAAGCCUGACGCAGCCAUGCCGCGUGGAUGAUGAAGGUCUUAGGAUUGUAAAAUCCUUUCACCGGUGAAGAUAAUGACUGUAGUCGGAGAAGAAGCCCCGGCUAACUUCGUGCCAGCAGCCGCAGUAAUAC
rnacentral:rRNA from 1 species